UUUGGAGGUUGUGCCCUUGAGGCGUGGCUUCCGGAGCUAACGCGUUAAAUCGACCGCCUGGGGAGUACGGCCGCAAGGUUAAAACUCAAAUGAAUUGACGGGGGCCCGCACAAGCAGUGGAGCAUGUGGUUUAAUUCGAUGCAACGCGAAGAACCUUACCUACUCUUGACAUCCAGAGAACUUUCCAGAGAUGGAUUGGUGCCUUCGGGAACUCUGAGACAGGUGCUGCAUGGCUGUCGUCAGCUCGUGUUGUGAAAUGUUGGGUUAAGUCCCGCAACGAGCGCAACCCUUAUCCUUUGUUGCCAGCGGUUCGGCCGGGAACUCAAAGGAGACUGCCAGUGAUAAACUGGAGGAAGGUGGGGAUGACGUCAAGUCAUCAUGGCCCUUACGAGUAGGGCUACACACGUGCUACAAUGGCAUAUACAAAGAGAAGCGACCUCGCGAGAGCAAGCGGACCUCAUAAAGUAUGUCGUAGUCCGGAUUGGAGUCUGCAACUCGACUCCAUGAAGUCGGAACCGCUAGUAAUCGUAGAUCAGAAUGCUACGGUGAAUACGUUCCCGGGCCUUGUACACACCGCCGUCACACCAUGGGAGUGGGUUGCAAAAGAAGUAGGUAGCUUAACCUUCGGGAGGGCGCUUACCACUUUGUGAUUCAUGACUGGGGUGAAGUCGUAACAAGGUAACCGUAGGGGAACCUGC
rnacentral:rRNA from 1 species